GUCUGGUUGGACGAGUGGUUAAGUCGCUCCUCUCACAAAUCACCCUACUUCCUAUUCAGAAAGUGGUGGUUUAUGAGGUACAGGAGAAAUCAGAAGUUCGAUCCUUCUACUAGACA